rnacentral:lncRNA from 10 species
GUGGCACAAUUGCCUUUAAGAAAAAGAGAUUAUCUUUGAUGGGCCUGGCCUAAUCAGGUGAGGCCUUAAAAGGAACUUGUCUCUUCCUGAAGAGAUUUGAAGUAUGGGAGAGACUCAACCCAACAGAGAUUCUCCACUGAUAGAUUUAAAGAUGGAGGAAGCCAUGGAAAAUGGCAACUAGUAUCAGAAAGCCAGCAAGAAAACAAGGACCUCAGUCCUCCAACUAUAAGGAACUGAAUUCUAUCAAUACCCUGAAUGAGUUUGGACAUGGAUUCUUCUCCAAAGCCUUCAGGUGAGAACUCAGCCUGACUGCUACCUUGAAUGUGACACCCUGAGCAGAGAACCCAACUGAGCUGUGCUGGACUUCUGAUCUACUGAACCGAGAGCUAAAAAGUUGGACUGCAGUUUGAGAAUUGAGUAAAAGGAUAGCCAAUAAACUCAAAAAGUAUUAAAACCAAACAUGGAGUUACUAAGUGAAAGCAACAGACUGAGGCGUGAAGAACAAACAGUGGCCACAGCAGGAAGGCAUGCAGUGGCCUUUUCUCUUUUUAAUGUAUGGCAGACAGAUCUUCAGAUGUAAAGUUUGA